rnacentral:rRNA from 1 species
CAGAGGUGCCGAGCGUUAGGCGGAAUCACUGGGCUUAAAGCGCGCGUAGGCGGACGUUUAAGUGUCUUGUGAAAUCCCACGGCUCAACCGUGGAACUGCUGGGCAUACUGGACGUCUCGAGGCACUCAGGGGCGAGCGGAACAAGUGGUGGAGCGGUGAAAUGCGUAGAUAUCACUUGGAACGCCAAUGGUGAAGACAGCUCGCUGGGGGUGUCCUGACGCUGAGGCGCGAAAGCCAGGGGAGCGAACGGGAUUAGAUACCCCGGUAGUCCUGGCCCUAAACGAUGUCCACUAGAUCAUGGCGGCUCUGACGUCGUCAUGGUCGGAGCAAAAGUGUUAAGUGGACCGCCUGGGAAGUACGGUCGCAAGGCUA